CCCUAUGGGGUGCAGCAGGCCGGUGUCGGCGUCGAUGCAGACGAGUGCCUUGGUGAUCUCGCCGGCUACGUAGACCUGCGCUUCUUCGGGGACCGUGUCCAGUCCCGCCAUUUUCAGAGCCAGAUGUAGAAUCCUGUCGGUGUACAUGUGUGCUCUCUCUCACGUUUUCAGGAUGGUUGACAGGACCAGUGGACCGGAAACCGAAGGUGUUGACACAUGGAUCCGACGGUCGAUCCCUGGUAGUGUACCCACUACUUCACCGCUCAUGCAAUGCAGACAGGAUUCUGAUGAUUCUGUGAACCAUCCGUGUCAGAGAAGUUGCCUCGAUGUCGUUAGCUGGGUAGAGGCAUUCUGCUUGCCUCGUGAGCAGGCAUACGGUGACAUGAGGGGAGGCGGGGGGGC
rnacentral:rRNA from 1 species